UACGGAGGGUGCAAGCGUUGCUCGGAAUUAUUGGGCGUAAAGGGUAGGUAGGUGGUCUCGUUUGUCUGGGUGAAAGCCUUGGGCUUAACUCAAGAAGUGCCCCAGAAACGGCGAGACUAGAGUCCUAGAGAGGGUCGUGGAAUUCCGGUGUAGCGGUGAAAUGCGUAGAGAUCGGAGGAACACCAGAGGCGAAGGCGGCGACCUGGAUAGGUACUGACACUCAACUACGAAAGCGUGGGGAGCAAACAGG
rnacentral:rRNA from 1 species